AGAGUUUGAUCCUGGCUCAGGAUGAACGCCGGCGGUGUGCCUAAUACAUGCAAGUCGUACGCACUGGCCCAACUGAUUGAUGGUGCUUGCACCUGAUUGACGAUGGAUCACCAGUGAGUGGCGGACGGGUGAGUAACACGUAGGUAACCUGCCCCGGAGCGGGGGAUAACAUUUGGAAACAGAUGCUAAUACCGCAUAACAACAAAAGCCACAUGGCUUUUGUUUGAAAGAUGGCCUUGGCUAUCACUCUGGGAUGGACCUGCGGUGCAUUAGCUAGUUGGUAAGGUAACGGCUUACCAAGGCGAUGAUGCAUAGCCGAGUUGAGAGACUGAUCGGCCACAAUGGAACUGAGACACGGUCCAUACUCCUACGGGAGGCAGCAGUAGGGAAUCUUCCACAAUGGGCGCAAGCCUGAUGGAGCAACACCGCGUGAGUGAAGAAGGGUUUCGGCUCGUAAAGCUCUGUUGUUGGAGAAGAACGUGCGUGAGAGUAACUGUUCACGCAGUGACGGUAUCCAACCAGAAAGUCACGGCUAACUACGUGCCAGCAGCCGCGGUAAUACGUAGGUGGCAAGCGUUAUCCGGAUUUAUUGGGCGUAAAGCGAGCGCAGGCGGUUGCUUAGGUCUGAUGUGAAAGCCUUCGGCUUAACCGAAGAAGUGCAUCGGAAACCGGGCGACUUGAGUGCAGAAGAGGACAGUGGAACUCCAUGUGUAGCGGUGGAAUGCGUAGAUAUAUGGAAGAACACCAGUGGCGAAGGCGGCUGUCUGGUCUGCAACUGACGCUGAGGCUCGAAAGCAUGGGUAGCGAACAGGAUUAGAUACCCUGGUAGUCCAUACCGUAAACGAUGA
rnacentral:rRNA from 1 species